GCAUUGGUGAUUCAGUGGUAGAGUUCUCACCUUCUAUGUGGGAGAGCUGGGUUCAAUUCCCAGCCAUGCA
rnacentral:tRNA from 1 species